AGUGCACUCCACUGCAUCCUGGGCCUCGAGAUCUUCUCCGGCAAGACCAGGGGAGCUUCCAUGGCAAGAAACAUGGUCAAUGACUCCAGAGUGACGUGGAGCUCCAGGCCAAGGUAACGAGCAAAUUCUUCUUCGAGGUUGAGAUCGGCGGGAAGCGCGUGGGCAAGGUGGUCAUCGGGCUCUUCGGCGAGGUCGUCCCAAAGAUGAUUGACAACUUCCGUGCCCUGUGCACUGGAGAAAAAGGGGAUGUAUACAAGGGCUGCUUCUUCCACCGAAUCAUCAAAGGAUUUCAUGAUUCAGGGUGGGGAUUUUGCAGGAAAACAAUGUCUGAAGAGCAUUAGUGGCCUCUGUUCAGCCUUUUCUCUUCAUCUAUUCUGCAGCCGCUGUUGGUGGACAACGGCGGCCUCAGGUGGUGCAUGGUGGGUCCUGCCAAGUCACCGACACGAUUUCUCCCACGCAGGUGACUGGCGGCUGGGCAACGCCUCGGCCAUUGAGCCGAAGGUGGCUGAGCGCCAGAGCUCCCAGCUUAGGAAGACGAUGCGACGGGAUGGCGCAGCACCACGGCCUUCAGCACCCUUGCCGUUAGCAGCCUGCCCCAGUCAUAAGUCCUCU